rnacentral:tRNA from 1 species
GUCCAGGGGCGGGAAUCGAACCCGCAACGUUCCGCUUACCGGGCAGAUGCCAUGUCCACUAGGCUACCCUGGA